rnacentral:rRNA from 1 species
GUGCCAGCAGCCGCGGUAAGACGAACCGUGCGAACGUUGUUCGGAAUCACUGGGCUUAAAGGGCGCGUAGGUGGUCUGCCGAGUCGGGGUUGAAAUCUUUCGGCCCAACCGGAAAAGUGGCUUCGAUACUGGCAGGCUGGAGGGGGGUAGGGGCGGAUGGAACUUCCGGUGGAGCGGUGAAAUGUGUUGAUAUCGGAAGGAACGCCGGUGGCGAAAGCGAUCCGCUGGACCCUUACUGACACUGAGGCGCGAAAGCCAGGGGAGCAAACGGGAUUAGAUACCCCCGUAGUCC